rnacentral:rRNA from 1 species
AUAAAGAGUCUGGCCUGCCCACUGAUUAUAUUAAAUGGCCGCGGUAUCCUGACUGUGCAAAGGUAGCAUAAUAAUUUGCCUCUUAAUUAGAGGCUAGAAUGAAGGGUCUGACAAGAGUAUACCUGUCUCUAUGAAAUUUAAAAUAAAUUAAUUUAUAGGUGAAGAAGCCUAUAUAAAAAUGAAAGACGAGAAGACCCUGUCGAGCUUAAAGAAUCAAAUAUAAAAUAAUUUACCCAAAAUAUAAUUAUUUUGAUAUUUUAAUUGGGGCGAUUAAGGAAUAACAAAAGCUUCCUUUAAAAACUAAAAAUUGACAAAUAUAGAGCCAAUAAAUUUGAUCUAAGAAUACUAGCUACCGCAGGGAUAACAGCAUAAUUUAUUUUAAGAGUUCUUAUCGAAAAAAAAGUUUGUGACCUCGAUGUUGGACCAAAGCAUCCUAAAGGUGCAGAAGCCUUAAAGGUUGGUCUGUUCGACCAUUAAUGCUUUA